rnacentral:lncRNA from 10 species
CCCCACUGUAUUCAUCCAUUUUCAUACUGCUAUAAAUAAUACCUAAGACUGAGUAAUAUAUAAAGAAAAGAGGUUUAAUUGACUCACGGUUCUGCAUGGCUGAAGAAGCCUCAGGAAACUUAUAGUCAUGGUGGAAGGUUAAGGUGAAGCAAGGCACAUCUUACCCUUAUGGCGUCAGGAGAGAGAGAGAAAGGGGAAGCACAAGACACUUAUAAGCAGCCAUAUCUCAUGAGAACUCACUCAUAAUCAUGAGAAGAGCCUGGGGAAAACUGCCCCCAUGAGCCAAUCACCUCCCACCAGGUUCCUCUAUCACAGGUGGGAAUUACAGUUUGAAAUGAGAUUUGGGUGGGGACACAGAGACAAACCAUAUCACCCUGCCCCGGCCCCUUCCAAAUAUCAUGCCCUUUGCACAUUUUAAAAUCAAUUGUUAGUUAUGAGUUCUAAAUUUCUUUUCAAAGAAUCAAUAUGUCAGUAUGUUCAAUUCUUUGCCUUCUACUUUUAAACUUAACUUCCUUGUAAAGCAACCUUUUUCGAUUACCUACUCCACCCUGACCCAUUCUGAUUACCUCCUCUGCCCUGACUCAUUCCAAUUACCUACUCCACCCUGACUCAUUCCGAUUACCUGCUCUGUCAUAACCAUUUUUCCCACCAAACCACUCACCCCGUCACUCUCUUUCAAUUAGCCAAUCAGAAUUAGUUUAGCCUGUGCGGUCUAACCCUUGCCAAUAGGGGCCACAUGCGUCAGGGAUAAGAACCCCUUCCCCUCCCUUGUCCAAGUGUGUGCUCACCAUUGCUCCAUCUGUAAGGGUGUACCCUUCUGUAGAAGUACCUUGCCUUGCUGAGAAUUAAAAAGAAAAUUUUAUAUUCGAGUACUAGUUCUUUUGCAGCACCGAAACUUUAUUUAUAACAAUUUGGGGCCUCACCGGUGAUUACAUUAUCCUCCGGGGGCGGUCUCUGGUUCUCUCUUCUGAGGAGACAUGCCCCGCCCCCUUGUGGCGGCCUCGGGGGUGAGAACUCAAGACCCACUCAGUGCGAGGAAUAACCGCAGCUCUCAGCAACGCGCAGGGGAGGGGCUGGGGGGAGGGACUGGCCAGCAACCUAGCUUAAAGGAUCCUCAUAGACUGCAGCGACGAUUCUGUGCACAGACUAAGGAAGGAGAAGCUGCAGGAACCGGAAAACAAGCUUAUGUUACUAUAGAAGAAUGAGAGAUCACCUGGGCAAAUAUAAGACAUUUUAGAUGAUCCAUAAUAGAAUUACUAACCUCCAGUCUGUCUGCCAGCUCCACAAAGACACAAGAGCAAACCCAGAAAUUCUGAGAACCUUCCUUGAAAUCAUUGAACAGCAAAUGAACAAGCUGUUGCCAACCUGGGGUAGAAGACAGCAGAAUUCCAGCAAGUUUCCUGAAUGGAUUCCCAUUCACUGCUCUUGGACUUGGGAGAGCUCUGGUAAGAGACAGGGAAACCUUUCCUUUCCCCUUCCCAGGGACUCAGUAAAUAUGCAGGCACCACAGCCAGGGUAUUCAUUGAUCAGAUGUACAUCCCUCCUCCACAACAGACAAAUUGAUCACUCUGGAUCACCAAGAAGAUCUACGUUGUUUACAUAAUAACAAUAGUGGGGUUUAUUACAGUGUAAUAUUGUAAUGACUUUUUGUCCAGGAAACUUGUGAACAUCCCAUUUUUAUCCACAAACUGUUAUUCUUUCCUGCAAGGUCCCCAAGGGAAGUAUACACACAAUAUAAUUAAAACACAACAAAGAAGCAUUCUACUGUGCGUUUACCAUACACUCUAAAGUGGAAUUUCAAGACACUAAGCGAAAGCAUACUUUAUUUUAAAUGUUAGAUAUGCUGGUAUGUUUUGUACAAUCAAAUACUUAUGAGACCUGUUCUCUCCAUUUGUCCUAGUGAGGCAGGAAAUUAAAGAAAAAUAAAAUUAAAAAGAGAAAUAAGUUUUCCUGUAUUAGGCUAACUUGUCCCAGGCAGCAACAGGCACAGCCCAGACCCAGGAAAAUUCUUGCUAAUAUUAUCUAAUGUGCUCUGGAGGCUCUCCCAGCAUUCCCUCAACAUACGGAGAAGAAAAACCAAAUUUUCCUUUAUUUUAUGGAAUGAGUUUAUAGAUUCCUGUUCUCUGUAACUAGUGACUUCAAGUAUUGUUUUAUCUAAGAAGUACAACGAAGGUCAUGAGAAGCCUGAGUAGGCCUGAACUACAGCUGCCUGGGCACCAUAGUGAAGGUUAUGGGAUAAGCCCGUGCCUAGGCAAACCUAGAUAACGGACAUCUGGGUUGCAUAGCAAUGGUUAUGUGCAAUCCUACGUUAUACACCUGUUACAAUUUGAUUAACUGUCUUUGUCCUGCCUCUGUAUCCCUGCUUUCACACCACUGUAAGCUUGCUUCAAGCUAGCCGACCCCCUUUUCUAAAGUGUAUAUAAAAGUCAAGUGCUGUCUUUGUUCUGGGCCCAGUCUUUGGACGUGAGUCUGCUGGGCCUGAGUGCACUCAAUAAAAGGUUCUCCUGUUUUAACCCGAGACCUCUCUUGUCCUCCUGGAUCCCGCAACAAUAGAGCCAAAAUCUUGGUCGUUGAAUUUUCUCCUUUAAUGGGACAAAGUCUUCAGGGGCCACCACUUCUCA